CUCCGGGGGCGAGGAUAAUACAGUUACGAUCGCACACGUAGGAGGUCUCCUUCUUCUGCUCGUCAGCGGUGUCAUCAUAUCCUGUCUAAUCUUAUUGGUGGAGUUUGCUGUACAUAAAUACAUGGUGCCGAACCUACGUAAAGUGCCGAAACAUCGACGGGACUGCCUCGUUCUAAGCCAGAGAUUGCACCAUGAGAUCAACUCUGACUAUAAAGUGAGAUCCUCAGCCAAUAUGAGGGAGCUACUCACGCUCGUCAAGCAGGGG